rnacentral:pre_miRNA from 1 species
AAUACGUGUAAUUUUGCACUGUUCAUAUUUAACGUUUGACCGUUUAUCUUAUUUGAAAUUUUUUUAUAAUUAAUAUUUUUAUUGUUAUUAGAUGAUAAAACAUCAAUAGUACUUUAUGUGCGUGUGUUCAUAGGGGUGAGUGGCGUGCGUUGUGAGUGUCUGUGUAGUACUGUGUAAUUCUAAAAAAAAAAGUACUUUAUGUGUGACAUUUUUUUAAUUUUUUUCAUAAAUUUUUAAAUAAGAUGGACGGUCAAAGAUCAGACGUGGAUUUUCAUGGCUGCACUUAUU